rnacentral:misc_RNA from 1 species
CCGAGUUAGGGUGUCUCUCUGAGCGCCCGACCUCCCAACCCUUUGUCUAUGAUACCUUUUUGUUGCUUCGGCGUGCCGAGGGGUCAUACCCUCGCCGGAUCUCCGGUCUGGAGCGUGCCCGCCGAUGGCCUCAACUUAAACACUUGAACCCAAAACCUGUCGUCUGAAACAUUUUAUGAUUUAUAAUCAAAAAC